GAAAAAAAAAAAAGGUAAAGUAACUAAUUACAGAAAGAAUGCCAUGCGAGAGAAUCUAAUCAAACGAACAUGGUCAUAGAAUCAUUAAAACACUCAAAACCAACACAAAUGUAUAACAAAUUUUCCAUGGAUAAUGAUUUCUCCCAUCAUCUGCUGUGACACUGCCUGCGGCUGAAAGAGAAAAGAAACUAUAAGGAUUAGCAAAGAAUCAUAGUUGCUAAAUAUCCACACUUAAGGCACACGUUAGGUCCAAAAAUCUGUAAUAAUGAUUAGAGAAUGGCCAAUUCUUACCACACUCUCUCGUAGCAUUAUUGGAAGCAGAGCAUAGACACAGCAUUCCCUCCGUCUCUGUGUCAAAUCCACAAGUACCACCAGACUGUGAGCACCGCUCACAUCCAGUAUCUGGCACGCUAAAAGAUAGUUUGAUGCCAUAUACCCAAUCCAAGGGCCCAAUACCCUUCAAGUUAUCAACGUUAACCACAGUAGUGUAAUGGGUGCAGUCCAAAAUAUUCAUGCUCAUAAACUUCACCGUGUCAUACCCAGUAAAACAACAAGGCGGAGAACUGUUGGUAAGCAAAUGGAAGACUCUGAAAGCAUUGCAGGAGCCGUAUAGCUCGUCACAGGAGUGGUCAGAGAAGUUGAAGCAGAGGUUCUUGUAGUGGUUAAGAACUGGAGAGUCAAUAGAGCAAUUGAGGAGAGCAAAGACGGUGUCUGGAGUUGGAGGGAUUAUGAAAGAUUGUAUUUCAGUCAUGAUAAAGUCAUGGUGAGGCUGAAGAAUGGAGCACGUAGACAUGGCAGGAUCGUAAACCACCAUAGUUUUCUUAUCGUAGUCAAUGUGCUGGACUUUGUAGCUACCAGAAGGGGUUAUGAAGAACAAGUCAUUGCUGCAGUUAAACAUGCCGCGAAACUGUGGCGCCCCACACCCGUCAUCGACGCCGAAGGGGUAGUGUAUCUCAAUGCUGCCACAGGAGGUUCUGCAGGAAGUGAGAGCGAGGGCAGGCAGUAAUUGAAGUGUUGAGGCAGUGAGUAUGAGAGUGAAGAUGGUGAGUGGAGAAUGCAUUUCUUUGCUAUAAUUUCCCGUUAUCUCAAAACAUUUGAUAUGUGAGAAUAAGGAGAGGUAAAGGGAAAUAUGUAAUUGGAAACCAGAAAGAUGGAUCACUUUUGCUCCAUCGGUUAUAACGAAAGGAGGUUGGAGUUGAU
rnacentral:misc_RNA from 1 species